UGUACGGCUAUGAAGAGAAGAGUAAUUUUGAUUAAUUAUUUUCAGAGAGCUCCGGUAGGUGGGAAGGAGUAAUAAUGAUCUUAAUGAAAAAAAGUCUUGGAGCUUCGCACGAAUCUAAGAGCAUUCUUAGUGAUACUGCGACGGGAUCUCCCGUUAAAGAGAUAGGGUAUAAUCAAUUAUUAGAAAAUUGACGUACUCGAAGAGGUUGAUAUGGCGACAUAUCAAUAAACUGAGGUGGUACCGCGGAGCUAUAAACUCCCGUCCUCAAG
rnacentral:ncRNA from 1 species